GCAUCUAUAAGGCAAACUUUUCAUGCAGUUUAGUGAUGAAAUCAUUAGUUAUUAAAUCAUGAAUGAAUGCGGGAGAAGUGUUAGUCAACAAGAUAUCAUCAACAUAGACAAGAGCAUAAAGUGUAAUACCUUGAUAAUUAUAAAUGAAUAAGGAGUGAUAAUUGCUUGAUAAAAACCAAAGUGAAUAACAGAUUGAUGAAGCUUUUCAUACCAUGUCAUAGGAGCUGGCUUAAGGCCAUAUAAAACAUUUUUUAACUUGCAUUCUAUAUUAGAGUUUGAGCUAACAAAGCCAGGUGGUUGUUGCAUGUAAACCUCUUCUUGACUCCCACCAUUGAAAGCAUUAUUUACAUCUAUUUGUUGAACUUCCCACUUGUAAGUAAGAGCUAGAGACAAAAUAAUUUUGAUGGUUGUUACCUUAACAAUAAAGGGAAAAGUCUCAUGAAAAUCAAAACCCUAUUGUAUUUAUUAAUGCUUCCAUUAAAAUUCUCCUUGAUUUUGAAAAUCCACUUGCACUCUAUGGAUUUUCUGUGAGGAGGAAAGGUGGUAAGUGUCCAAGGUAUUCACUCUUCAUAGCAUCAAAUCACUGAGGUUGAACCAAAGCUUGCUUUGAGUGUAGGGUUCUGAACAAGCUAUAAAGACCUCUGGUUUGAAGUUUUCAAUUUUAGAUCGUGUGAGCAUAUGGUUGUUUUCAAAUUUAUGCUAAUCGGCUCGAGCUGAUGCACGUGCUACAUGUUUUGAACGGCUUUUGGAAUUUCAUAAUGAUAUUAUACUAGGAGUCAAUGCAAUGAUAUUGUUCCAAGCAGCUACUUGAGCUUCAGAAUUGGCUCCAAAAUCAGACAAACAAGUUGAAGAAGAACAAUCGCAGGUUUUACACGAAGUUAUGCUAAAUUCUGUCGACCAAUCAGGGAAACUUUUGAGCUCAUCAAGUACAAAUCCAAAGGAGAUUUUGGAGAAGAAAGGUUCUUCCCUGGAACCUAUUGUUAAAAAUGAUGAGAAUAAGAAACAAGUAUCUUGCAGCUUAAGCAACACAAUCAAGUUGGGAAAACAUAAAACAGAAGCUGGGAGUUGGUUCAUGGAUUUCAUUGAGAAGGCAUUGGAAGCGGGUUUGAAGAAAACAAAGGAAGCAUCAAAGGGGAAUAUUAGUAAAGUUUCUCAGUCUCUCAUAAUUAAAAGCUAUUAUGAACUGGGUUGAGGUAGAACAAUACUAUAUAAUAACAAGAGGCUUAGCCAUCCUAAAGCGGCGCAGAUUGCUCGGAAGUUAAGAAUAAAGAUUAAGAAUCCUUGAAUGGUGAUGAAGUCUUCUCAAGUUAUAUGUUUUUGGCUGCACAUAUAUUAUUAUGUUUUGAGAAUUAUUUAUCUUUAAUUCUUAGCCUCUAGCCAUGCAAUUUACAAUAGUUUGUAUUGUUUCUUUUCUAUCAACUUAUUCUUAGUCUCUUUUAGUCAUAUAUUUGUAAAAUUGUAGUUCCAUCGGCAUUCAUUAAUCUGUUAUUAAUGUGUGCACUUGUGUAACAUAAUCAUU